GGUCCGGUGGUGUAGCGGCUAGCAUAAGAGCCUGUCACGCUCUUGACGCGGGUUCGAGUCCCGCCCGGGCCG
rnacentral:tRNA from 1 species